rnacentral:rRNA from 1 species
AGCUGCUACGGCAGCGAAGUGGGUGAUGUCAUGCUUCCAAGAAAAGCCCUAUACCCGUUAAGGCAUGAUGGCCUGUACCCGAAACCGACACAGGUGGGGUGGUAGAGAAUACCGAGGGGCGCGAAGUAACUCUCUCUAAGGAACUCGGCAAAAUGGCCCCGUAACUUCGGGAGAAGGGGUGCCACCGCAAGGUGGUCGCAGUGAAGAGGCCCAGGCGACUGUUUACCAAAAACACAGGUCUCCGCUAAGUCGCAAGACGAUGUAUGGGGGCUGACGCCUGCCCAGUGCCGGAAGGUUAAGGAAGCUGGUCAGCGUAAGCGAAGCUAGCGACUGAAGCCCCGGUGAACGGCGGCCGUAACAAUAACGGUCCUAAGGUAGCGAAAUUCCUUGUCGGGUAAGUUCCGACCCGCACGAAAGGCGUAACGAUCUGGGCGCUGUCUCGGAGAGAGGCUCGGCGAAAUAGAAUUGUCUGUGAAGAUGCGGACUACGUGCACCCGGACAGAAAGACCCUAUGAAGCUUUACUGUAGCUUGGUAUUGUGCUCGGGCUCGGAAUGCGCAGGAUAGGUGGGAGGCUAUGAACCAUUGCUUGCGGGUGAUGGUGAGCCACUGGUGAGAUACCACUCUUUCCGAGCUAGAGUUCUAACAGCCACCCGUUAUCCGGGGGCUGGACAGUAUCAGGUGGGCAGUUUGACUGGGGCGGUCGCCUCCUAAAAGGUAACGGAGGCGCGCAAAGGUUUGCUCAGGCUGGUUGGAAAUCAGCCGACGAGUGUAAAAGCAGAAGCAAGCUUGACUGUGAGACCUACAAGUCGAACAGGGAGGAAACUCGGCUUUAGUGAUCCGACGGUUCUGCGUGGAAGGGCCGUCGCUCAACGGAUAAAAGUUACUCUAGGAUAACAGGCUGAUCUCCCCCAAGAGUUCACAUCGACGGGGAGGUUUGGCACCUCGAUGUCGGCUCAUCGCAACCUGGGGCUGAAGUCGGUCCCAAGGGUUGGGCUGUUCGCCCAUUAAAGCGGUACGCGAGCUGGGUUCAGAACGUCGUGAGACAGUUCGGUCCAUAUCCGGUGCAUGCGCAGGAAUAUUGAGAGGAUUUCUCCCUAGUACGAGAGGACCGGGAGGAACGCACCUCUGGUGUACCAGUUAUCGUGCCAACGGUAAACGCUGGGUAGCCAUGUGCGGAGAGGAUAACCGCUGAAAGCAUCUAAGUGGGAAGCCCACCUCAAGAUGAGUAUUCCCAUGGGGUAACCCAGUAAGGUCACGGGAAGAACACCCGUUGAUAGGCUCUACGUGGAAGCGCAGUAAUGUGUGAAGCGGAGGAGUACUAAUAGACCGAGGGCUUGAC